AACCACAAAAUCACCUGUUUAUGUGAAUUAAUGAAAAUAUAGUCAGAGUGAAUGUGGUGUCAAGAAAGGCAUAAAUAAAUGCUUUGCAGCCUUUUCUUUCCCUGGAGCUUGGUGUCUUGGGUAUAGGAGCUGCAUAAGUAACAGAA